AUCCAGGGGCACAAUGGCUCAGUACAUCUGGCUGUGAACCCUAGAAGGUUGGUGGUUCGAGCCCACCCAGGGAUU